rnacentral:rRNA from 1 species
UGAACGCUGGCGGUAUGCUUUACACAUGCAAGUCGUACGAGAGUUUUUAACUCAAGUGGCGGACGGGUGAGUAACACGUAAGAAUUUGCCUUUAGGAGGGGGACAACAACUAGAAAUGGUUGCUAAUACCCCAUAUGCUUUCGAGUGAAAUGGAUUUAUAUUUAUCCGCCUAGAGAGAAGCUCGCGGCUGAUUAGCUUGUUGGUAAGGUAAGAGCUUACCAAGGCGACGAUCAGUAUCUGGUUUGAGAGGACGAUCAGACACACUGGAACUGAGACACGGUCCAGACUCCUACGGGAGGCAGCAGUGGGGAAUUUUCCGCAAUGGGCGAAAGCCUGACGGAGCAAUACCGCGUGAGGGAUGACGGCCUAUGGGUUGUAAACCUCUUUUUUCAGGGAGGAAUCAAUGACGUGUACCUGAAGAAUAAGCAUCGGCUAACUCC